UAUACGACCGUACCGCAAACCGACACUGGUGCGCGAGAUGAGUAUUCUAAGGCGCUUGAGAGAACUCAGGAGAAGGAACUCGGCAAAUUGACACCGUAACUUCGGAAGAAGGUGUGCCCUAUUAGUGUGUAGUGAACAACGAAGCAUGAAUGGGUUGCAAAAAAUCGGUGGCUGCGACUGUUUAUUAAAAACACAGCACUCUGCAAACACGAAAGUGGACGUAUAGGGUGUGACGCCUGCCCGGUGCUGGAAGAUUAAAUGAUGGGGUGCAAGCUCUUGAUUGAAGUCCCAGUAAACGGCGGCCGUAACAAUAACGGUCCUAAGGUAGCGAAAUUCCUUGUCGGGUAAGUUCCGACCUGCACGAAUGGCGUAACGAUGGCCACACUGUCUCCUCCUGAGACUCAGCGAAGUUGAAAUGUUUGUGAUGAUGCAAUCUCCCCGCGGAAAGACGGAAAGACCCCAUGAACCUUUACUGUAGCUUUGUAUUGGACUUUGAACAGAUCUGUGUAGGAUAGGUGGGAGGCUUUGAAGCAGGGUCGCUAGAUCUUGUGGAGCCAACGUUGAAAUACCACCCUGGUGUGUUUGAGGUUCUAACCUAGGUCCAUUAUCUGGAUCGGGGACAGUGCAUGGUAGGCAGUUUGACUGGGGCGGUCUCCUCCCAAAGCGUAACGGAGGAGUUCGAAGGUACGCUAGUUACGGUCGGACAUCGUGACGAUAGUGCAAUGGCAUAAGCGUGCUUAACUGCGAGACUGACAAGUCGAGCAGAUGCGAAAGCAGGACAUAGUGAUCCGGUGGUUCUGUAUGGAAGGGCCAUCGCUCAACGGAUAAAAGGUACUCUGGAUAACAGGCUGAUACCGCCCAAGAGUUCAUAUCGACGGCGGUGUUUGGCACCUCGAUGUCGGCUCAUCUCAUCCUGGGGCUGUAGCCGGUCCCAAGGGUAUGGCUGUUCGCCAUUUAAAGAGGUACGUGAGCUGGGUUUAAAACGUCGUGAGACAGUUUGGUCCCUAUCUUCCGUGGGCGCUGCAGAUUUGAGGAAGCCUGCUCCUAGUACGAGAGGACCGGAGUGGACACACCUCUGGUGUAUCGGUUGUCACGCCAGUGGCAUUGCCGAGUAGCUAAGUGUGGAAGAGAUAACCGCUGAACCAUCUAAGCGGGAAACUCGUUUCAAGAUGAGAUCUGCCGGGGCCUUGAGCCCCCUAAAGAGUCGUUCAAGACCAGGACGUUGAUAGGUCAGGUGUGGAAGCGAAG
rnacentral:rRNA from 1 species